AGCGUGUGCGUCACAUCUACGAUUCUGCUCAUUAAAAACUAAUAAAAAUUAAUAAAAACAAGCUUGAACAAGUUGAGUAUGUGUAAAUACGAAGGUAUAAUAGUUAAUCGCAUGUUAGUGAAUAGAUAUUGUUAGUCAAUUGCGAUUUAACGUAGAAAUAGUGAAAUUGCGUUUGUGUAACCUCCAAUACCGCAUGCCGCUGCACAUCGACAUCAAAAUUCCGCCAUUUUUUGUGUUUUCUGUUUGAAAUUAAUCUCGUGAUGUUGAUGAUGCUGGUAGCAGAUAUUCCUGUGGGCUGCAGAUACUGCAUAGCAACUAUUACACUUCGCAGUGAUUUUUUCCGGUGCUCCAGAAUGCUGUCCGGGACACCAGGAGGCCACAAAUCGAUGUUGAGGGAUAUGGGGAAUGAGAUGCAUCCACAGAAGAGAUGACAAAAUCACAGUUUUUCCUGAAAUCAUGCCGUGAUCGAUUUUAUUUCCUCCAAGCACGAGGAACACGAACUCUGGUGA